rnacentral:rRNA from 1 species
UACGUAGGGGGCAAGCGUUGUCCGGAAUCAUUGGGCGUAAAGAGCGUGUAGGCGGCUCGUUAAGUCGGUUGUGAAAGUCCAGGGCUCAACCCUGGGAUGCCGGUCGAUACUGCCGGACUAGAGUUCGGAAGAGGCGAGGGGAAUUCCCGGUGUAGCGGUGAAAUGCGCAGAUAUCGGGAGGAACACCUAUGGCGAAGGCAGCUCGCUGGGACGUUACUGACGCUGAGACGCGAAAGCGUGGGGAGCAAACAGG